CUGUGUAUGCCAUAGUCCAGUUGUGGCUGAACUAGUGUUUUGUACAGCUCCAUCAUAACCUCCUCCUUGUUCUUGCCUUUUAUUAGCCAAGGCAUAGAAUACAAGUAUCCCAUAUGCCUUCUUAACUACCUUCUCUUACUGCCCUGCUGCCUUCAAGGAUCUGUUGGCAUGUACGUCAAAGUCCCUCUGAUCUUCAGUUAUUUCCAGGGUGCUACCUUCAUAGUAUAAUUCCUUGCCUUGUGGCUCUCCAAGUGCAUUACCUCUCAAGGUUGAAUUCCAUUUGCCACUACUCUGCUCAGCUGACCAGUCUAUCAAUAUCCUCCUCCUAUUUACCAUCCAUGUAGACCACAUUUAAAUGUAUUACCCUCAUCAAAACUCCUGGUUAUCUCUUCUGAAAUGUGUCAAACAACCUUCGUUUAACAAACUUUUAUGCAUACUAUCCCUGAUUUAAUCCACGUCUCUCCAUGUACAGAGAUAUUCUGUCCCUCAGAAUUCUUUCUGGUUAUGUUGGUAAGGUUAUACUGACUGGCCUGUAGUGGUGUGUGUUUUUUUUUUUUAAGGGUCAAACUCCAUAAAGACCCGUUUUUAAUUGAAUAUCCUGUUUGCCACCAACUUUACUUGGGCUUGGAAAAUGAUAUCACCCAUUGACAUCUCAUUUAUCUCUUUUUAAAUGACUUUGAUCACGACACCAUGAUGUGCUUACUCUAGCAAAGACACUGACUGAAUUGUCACCCUGUGCACAUUAUGGAAUGUUGAGACCCCUCCAGAAGUCUGACUGUACUUUACAAAGCUGGGCACUGGCUGAGUGGUCAAUUUGGCUUCCUGUCCCAAGGCACUGUAAUGAUUUAGUUCCCAUUUUUCAGUGAAAACCAGAGACUUGUCCAGGUACCAAUAUGCUGCAGAGGAGGAAACUGGAGACGGAAAAGAAGCAAAACUGAAACUUGAAUCCUCCUCCACCUGGUUGCCCUCCUAAUGCUGCUCAGAUUGCAGCCAUGCAGAGUGGCAACGUCAUUAUGACCCAGAGAAAGGCCAACUGGAUUUCUGGUGGCUCAGAUGGUGGUUACACAAUCUGGUAAACAGAUGAAAGCAUGAACAAGAACAUGUUGUUGGAAGGAACCAUUUACCUUUAUUUGUUUAGACAAAUAAUGGAUGUAUCUUGAUAACUAAGCCGCUUUGAAAUAUUUUAAACCUCUUCUCUUUGAGCAGAGUAUAAAGUUGUAGUAUAUCUGUUAAGCAGGGAGAAAUGCUCGUAAAACAGAACAGUUACUUUAAAAAAGAAAUUUUAAUGUUUUUUUUUGUGCCUUUUUUUUAAAUCAGAAUAAAAUCCGAAAGAACUGCAGAUGCUGGAAAUCAGAAAUUGCUCAAAGCUCAACAGGUCUGGCAGCAUCUGUGGAGAGAAAUGAGUUAACAUUUCGGGUUGGAUCACUGAAACAGAAAUGUUAACUCUAAUUUCUCUCUCCACGGAUGCUGCUGGACCUGCUGAGCUUUCCCAAUUAAUCAAUUGAUGCCACUUUGAUAAAUAAAACAAUGCUUCAAGUGCACUGUCUGUUUGCUAUGUCUCUGAUCACAUUUUAAAAUACUGAUUUGGUCUAUGAAGGACAGAAGUGUGUGUGUGCUACUUAACUGCUGCACAACUGAUUUCUAUGUAUACUGCUGUUAAUGAGAAAUGUAUAAAACCUCAUGAUGUUCUUCACUUUUUUUUUUUUCAAAAAUAAAUGUGAUUUUUGAUGGCUGUGAA